rnacentral:rRNA from 1 species
CCUACGGGAGGCAGCAGUGGGGAAUAUUGGACAAUGGGGGGAACCCUGAUCCAGCGACGCCGCGUGAGUGAAGAAGUAUUUCGGUAUGUAAAGCUCUAUCAGCAGGGAAGAAAAUGACGUUACCUGACUAAGAAGCCCCGGCUAACUACGGCACAGCAGCCGCGGUAAUACGUAGGGGGCAAGCGUUAUCCGGAUUUGCUGGGUGUAAAGGUAGCGUAGACGGUGCAGCAAGUCUGAUGUGAAAGGUCGGGGCCCAACCCCGGGACUGCAUUGGAAACUGUUGAACUGGAGUACAGGAGAGGUUAGCGGAAUUCCUAGUGUAGGGGUGAAAUGCGUAGAUAUGAGGAGGAACACCAGUGGCGAAGGCGGCUUACUGGACCGUAACUGACGUUGAGGAGCGAAAGCGUGGGGAGCAAACAGGAUUAGAUACCCGGGUAGUC